rnacentral:rRNA from 1 species
GACGAACGCUGGCGGCGUGCUUAACACAUGCAAGUCGAACGCUGAAGCUCAGCUUUUGUUGGGUGGAUGAGUGGCGAACGGGUGAGUAACACGUGAGUAACCUGCCUCCUUCUUUGGGAUAACGCCCGGAAACGGGUGCUAAUACUGGAUAUUCACUGGUCUUCGCAUGGGGGUUGGUGGAAAGGGUUUUUCUGGUGGGGGAUGGGCUCGCGGCCUAUCAGCUUGUUGGUGGGGUGAUGGCCUACCAAGGCUUUGACGGGUAGCCGGCCUGAGAGGGUGACCGGUCACAUUGGGACUGAGAUACGGCCCAGACUCCUACGGGAGGCAGCAGUGGGGAAUAUCGCACAAUGGGCGCAAGCCUGAUGCAGCGACGCCGCGUGAGGGAUGGAGGCCUUCGGGUUGUGAACCUCUUUCGCUCAUGGUCAAGCCGCAACAAUGGUUGUGGUGAGGGUAGUGGGUAAAGAAGCGCCGGCUAACUACGUG